rnacentral:rRNA from 1 species
UACGUAGGGUGCGAGCGUUGUCCGGAAUUAUUGGGCGUAAAGAGCUUGUAGGCGGUUUGUCGCGUCUGCCGUGAAAAUCCGGGGCUCAACUCCGGACUUGCAGUGGGUACGGGCAGGCUAGAGUGUGGUAGGGGAGACUGGAAUUCCUGGUGUAGCGGUGGAAUGCGCAGAUAUCAGGAGGAACACCGAUGGCGAAGGCAGGUCUCUGGGCCACUACUGACGCUGAGAAGCGAAAGCAUGGGGAGCGAACAGG